UAUUAGAAAUUUCAAAUAUUAAAACAAAAAAAAAAACAAAAAACAAAUUUAUCCUAAAGCGUAUUUCUUAGGUAUAAAUCAAAUGAGUAACAAACAAAUUUUUAUAUGUAUAUGGUAAAUGCGCCCCAAGUGCUUAAGCAACAACAAACACCCCAAAAACAAAGCAAAAACAAAACACAUAAAACAAACCUAAUGUUAAACAACAACAACCUCAACCAACAGCGAAUCGAGCAAUAUUAUCAAUAAUGAAUCAUUAAAUUGUUAAACGUUAAAGAUUAAAUGUAAUGUAAAACAAAACAACAAAUUAAAAAAUUUAAAAAAAAUCAACUAAACAAAACAGCAACAACGCUAGUAACCUGCCAACAAAAGACACCAACAACUCAUGCGGUGCCUGAAAAAGUACAUCAUCAUCGCCUUACAACAAUCACAACAACAACAACAACAACAAAAACAACAAGCAAGUGCCUCCGCCUCCCCAGAGGCCAGGGGACUAGGAAUAGGAAUAGGAUCAGAAACCGAAACAGAAAUCAGAAACCGACGACCAGGAACUGGUCCCCCCGAACACCCACACCCCCCAUCAUUCGUGGGCGGCAGCUAAAUCGCCCAGAUAUCUUGGAUUAAUCAUCACUUAGCUGACGCCGCCGCCGCCGCCACGCCCCAAAGCGGGUGUAUGGGGGAUGCGUUCUAUGUCAACAACAACAACAACAACAACAACAGCAGCAACACCUUUAACUUCACCAACGAUCACAGCAGGCUAUGGAUAUACAUAUGAAGAAACUAACUAAACCACGGUACUGCAACUUACACUUUUUUACCAACACAGUCACACACUCUUACCCUGAAAAACACACACACAGACAUACUCAAGCAAUAAAAGACUCCAAUCAGAUGUAACCGUAGAACUGUAGAGCUAUAAAACUGUAAAAACCCAAAGAAAACACGAUCAAAAUUCCUUAGGAAACAAAUCAAAUCAGCAUUUACAAAGAAUAAGUCUGUUCAAGAGAAAUCAAUUGAAAAGACAUUGAGUCAAAGAGAUAUACAUACAUAUUUAUUUUGUGCUAUUGAAAGGAGAAAAAAUACUUAAGAGGAGCAGCAACCACAACCACAACAACGAAUAGAUUACAUGAUAGUGCUAGUGCUAGUGCUUGUGCUUGUAAAACUGUUUGCCCUAACAGAGGAGAAGAGUGAGUGAGCCCUGCCCUGCCCGCCCUGCCCGCCCAGCACGACGACGGACGACGCUUUAACAGUCGCGCCUUAACAGUUGCUCAGCAGAACGGAGGCAGCAAAAUGUUGCCAGCAACAACAGCAGCGCCGAGUGACUCCAGCAACACAAACACGAACAACUACAACUACAACAACAAAUACAAAUACAACCACAAAGCGCCUUUUCAACGUCGCUGCUGUCACAGAAGCAAAAUUACAACGAUAACAUAAGAAAGAGAUAGCAACAUAAAGAGAGCACAGAGAGAGAAAUCAAACUUGCAGUUCACCGUUCGAUUAAGCCGAUUCGUUACCCCAUCCCUCCAUCCCGCCACCCCUUACCCCUUGCCCCUUGCCCCUCUUCCCCAUCGUCUGUCCUCCUUGUCUGCAAUCUUCUUUGUUGUUGUCUGUGCAGUGUUGGUGCGGGGGUGCCCCGUGUGGCGGUGUGCCGGAGUGCCGGAGUGCCUGCGUGCGUCGCCUGCCUGUGUACCCUCUCAGGGGAGAAUUUAAUUAUUUUAUUUGCAUUAAGCGCGCGUUAUGGCACAACAGCAGCAGCAGCAACAACAACAACAACA
rnacentral:misc_RNA from 1 species